GGGUUGUGAGGUUAAGCGAACAAGCGUACACGGUGGAUGCCCUGGCAGUCAGAGGCGAUGAAGGACGUGCUAAUCUGCGAAAAGCGCCGGUAAGGUGAUAUGAACCGUUAUAACCGGCGAUGUCCGAAUGGGGAAACCCGGUGCACUUCGGUGCAUCAUCGUUAGCUGAAUACAUAGGCUAACGAGGCGAACCGGGGGAACUGAAACAUCUAAGUACCCCGAGGAAAAGAAAUCAACCGAGAUUCCCCCAGUAGCGGCGAGCGAACGGGGAACAGCCCAGAGCCUGAAUCAGCUUGUGUGUCAGUGGAACGGUCUGGAAAGGCCGGCGAUACAGGGUGACAGCCCCGUACACGAAGGCACACAGGCUGUGAGCUCGAUGAGUAGGGCGGGACACGUGAUAUCCUGUCUGAAGAUGGGGGGACCAUCCUCCAAGGCUAAAUACUCCUGACUGACCGAUAGUGAACCAGUACCGUGAGGGAAAGGCGAAAAGAACCCCGGCGAGGGGAGUGAAACAGAACCUGAAACCGUGUACGUACAAGCAGUGGGAGCCUUCGUAAGAGGGUGACUGCGUACCUUUUGUAUAAUGGGUCAGCGACUUAUAUUCUGUAGCAAGGUUAACCGUAUAGGGGAGCCGAAGGGAAACCGAGUCUUAACCGGGCGUUAAGUUGCAGGGUAUAGACCCGAAACCCGGUGAUCUAGCCAUGGGCAGGUUGAAGGUUGGGUAACACUAACUGGAGGACCGAACCGACUAAUGUUGAAAAAUUAGCGGAUGACCUGUGGCUGGGGGUGAAAGGCCAAUCAAACCGGGAGAUAGCUGGUUCUCCCCGAAAGCUAUUUAGGUAGCGCCUCGUGAACUCAUCUCCGGGGGUAGAGCACUGUUUCGGCUAGGGGGCCAUCCCGGCUUACCAACCCGAUGCAAACUGCGAAUACCGGAGAAUGUUAUCACGGGAGACACACGGCGGGUGCUAACGUCCGUCGUGAAGAGGGAAACAACCCAGACCGCCAGCUAAGGUCCCAAAGUCAUGGUUAAGUGGGAAACGAUGUGGGAAGGCCCAGACAGCCAGGAUGUUGGCUUAGAAGCAGCCAUCAUUUAAAGAAAGCGUAAUAGCUCACUGGUCGAGUCGGCCUGCGCGGAAGAUGUAACGGGGCUAAACCAUGCACCGAAGCUGCGGCAGCGACACUAUGUGUUGUUGGGUAGGGGAGCGUUCUGUAAGCCUGUGAAGGUGUGCUGUGAGGCAUGCUGGAGGUAUCAGAAGUGCGAAUGCUGACAUAAGUAACGAUAAAGCGGGUGAAAAGCCCGCUCGCCGGAAGACCAAGGGUUCCUGUCCAACGUUAAUCGGGGCAGGGUGAGUCGACCCCUAAGGCGAGGCCGAAAGGCGUAGUCGAUGGGAAACAGGUUAAUAUUCCUGUACUUGGUGUUACUGCGAAGGGGGGACGGAGAAGGCUAUGUCGGCCGGGCGACGGUUGUCCCGGUUUAAGCGUGUAGGCUGACUUUCCAGGCAAAUCCGGAAGGUUAAGGCUGAGGCGUGAUGACGAGGCACCACGGUGCUGAAGUGACAAAUGCCCUGCUUCCAGGAAAAGCCUCUAAGCAUCAGGUAACAUCAAAUCGUACCCCAAACCGACACAGGUGGUCAGGUAGAGAAUACCAAGGCGCUUGAGAGAACUCGGGUGAAGGAACUAGGCAAAAUGGUGCCGUAACUUCGGGAGAAGGCACGCUGACAUGUAGGUGAAGCCCCUGCGGGUGGAGCUGAAGUCAGUCGAAGAUACCAGCUGGCUGCAACUGUUUAUUAAAAACACAGCACUGUGCAAACACGAAAGUGGACGUAUACGGUGUGACGCCUGCCCGGUGCCGGAAGGUUAAUUGAUGGGGUUAUCGCAAGAGAAGCUCCUGAUCGAAGCCCCGGUAAACGGCGGCCGUAACUAUAACGGUCCUAAGGUAGCGAAAUUCCUUGUCGGGUAAGUUCCGACCUGCACGAAUGGCGUAAUGAUGGCCAGGCUGUCUCCACCCGAGACUCAGUGAAAUUGAACUCGCUGUGAAGAUGCAGUGUACCCGCGGCAAGACGGAAAGACCCCGUGAACCUUUACUACAGCUUGACACUGAACAUUGAGCCUUGAUGUGUAGGAUAGGUGGGAGGCUUUGAAGCGUGGACGCCAGUCUGCGUGGAGCCGACCUUGAAAUACCACCCUUUAAUGUUUGAUGUUCUAACCUGGCGCCGUGAUCCGGCGUGGGGACAGUGUCUGGUGGGUAGUUUGACUGGGGCGGUCUCCUCCCAAAGUGUAACGGAGGAGCACGAAGGUCAGCUAAUCCUGGUCGGACAUCAGGAGGUUAGUGCAAUGGCAUAAGCUGGCUUGACUGCGAGAGUGACGGCUCGAGCAGGUGCGAAAGCAGGUCAUAGUGAUCCGGUGGUUCUGUAUGGAAGGGCCAUCGCUCAACGGAUAAAAGGUACUCCGGGGAUAACAGGCUGAUACCGCCCAAGAGUUCAUAUCGACGGCGGUGUUUGGCACCUCGAUGUCGGCUCAUCACAUCCUGGGGCUGAAGUAGGUCCCAAGGGUAUGGCUGUUCGCCAUUUAAAGUGGUACGCGAGCUGGGUUUAGAACGUCGUGAGACAGUUCGGUCCCUAUCUGCCGUGGGCGCUGGAGAAUUGAGGGGGGCUGCUCCCAGUACGAGAGGACCGGAGUGGACGCAUCACUGGUGUUCGGGUUGUCAUGCCAAUGGCACUGCCCGGUAGCUAAAUGCGGAAGAGAUAAGUGCUGAAAGCAUCUAAGCACGAAACUUGCCCCGAGAUGAGUUCUCCCUGAGACU
rnacentral:rRNA from 1 species